UGGAGACCGGACUGCUGGUGUGGGAGGGUUUGGAGACCGGACUGCUGGUGUGGGAGGGUUUGGAGACCGGACUGCUGGUGUGGGAGGGUUUGGAGACCGGACUGCUGGUGUGGGAGGGUUUGGAGAUGGACUACUUUUUGCACCUUUUUUUUUUCUCUCCAACCAACAACAAAACAACACGGAGAGCCAGCUAAUGUUGACAGACACUGCUUCAACCUGCAAGCAUGUCACUUCUGUGUCCAUAAGCUUUCUAGCCUGCUGUUGAUCAAGAAAAAUAGAAAAUAUAUAUAUAAAAUCUUGAAUAUUUUGAUUUACGUAAAACAAAUGUAAUCCAUGGUGUCAGAUAUGGCCUACUGUGUGUAAAUAUGAGGAAGUUGCUGGUCUGAUGUCUGAUAUGAUGUGACGUGUACACCUGUGUAUAAGCCCAAGGUUUUUUCGCUGAAGGGAUUCUAGCUGCCCACCAAUGCUUCACUACUCAUUUCUUCUUGCAUCUUUCUCCUUAUUCAUUUAUCUUCUUUUCUGUUUUUCCUCACCCUCUCCUUAAAAUACAGAAAGACUUGCAACACCUGACCUUUUAUUUAAUUUCUCUCAGACGAUAUUGUAUUUUUAUUUUAUUUUUUCAUUUAGCAAUUUUACAUUUCUAGGCAAUGCGUUCACCUUUUGUAUUUACAUUUUCAAAUGCUGUGUAAUAGUGUAAUAUGGUUGUUACCUUCUAUUCUCAAAAUUGGUUGUAUAAAAAAAAAAAAGUGUUAAAAGGAGAAGCCGAAGGAUGGUUUAGCGUGUCAGUGAGAUUAGAGGGGUGAGGUGGAUCCCUGCCUGGGCUUCUGAUUUAACAAUGAUCUAGUACACAAACCUUGGCUGCCAUACUACUAUUAGGUACCUGAAUGUUGUGUGUGGUUGUAUUUUUACAAUAACAUUGGGGGGGUCGUUACUCCCACGGGAAAUGGGUAUGUUUAAGCUAUAGCAGACACUGGGGUGGGGGGCUGCUUUGAAUGUAAUUCAACUUCACACUACACUGCUGAGCAGAGUAGGGGCUAUAGACUUUUUGCUCCCCCUGGUCAUUUGAUGACAAAACUUGCCUUGGCAUUCAGUUUUCAUUGUGUUUCAUUGGAAUAUGUAUAGAUUGUCCCACAUGGGAUUAUAUUAAUAAGAUGUUUAUUCUCCCUCAACUUCCUCCCUAACUGUAGCAAUUUGUUGGUCCGCCCCCGCCCCCGAUCACUACUAACUCUAACGAUUGAAAAAUUAGAAUGAUUCUGAUGUUUUGUGGGCUGGAUUUGAUUUGAGUAAUUUAGUGCCAAUGUCGUUCCUGAUUUUCCUUUUAUGUUUUUUGUAUAUCUACAAGUAUUGAUCUAAAGAAUGAUCUAAUUUCCACAUUUUAUUUAUUCCAGAUUUUAGCCUUUUAAAUGAGAAGUGAUUUAUUUUAGAAUGGUAUGAGAUUAUGAUGUGUAUAGGCGUGGCAGGGUUUGCCCCGCUCCCUCUUCAGGGUCAGCUGAGUGACGAGGGUCGCGACGGGUUCAGGGGUCAAUCCUGAGUUUUCACCAUACCUCCUUGUACUGUUAGUUCCCAGUAUAACAUUGUGAUGUUUCGGACCAUAUCGUGAGCAUAAUCUUCAAUAAAGGAUGGAUACAUUUAGAUGUCAUUAUUAUACUCUCCGUGUUAACUUUCAGUCCUGCUGGGUGUGCGUGAAUACAGUCGUGGCCAAACGUUUUGAGAAUGACACAAAUAUUAAUUUUCAAAGUCUGCUGCCUCAGUCUGUAUGAUGGCAAUUUGCAUUUACUCCAGAAUGUUAUGAAGAGUGAUCAGAUUAAUUGCAAUUAAUUGCAAAGUCCCUCUUUGCCAUGCAAAUGGACUGAAUCCCCCAAAAAAACAUUUCCACUGCAUUUCAGCCCUGCCACAAAAGGACCAGCUGACAUCAUGUCAGUGAUUCUCUCGUUAACACAGGUGU
rnacentral:lncRNA from 1 species